CGACCCCGCAUCAACCAUGCCAGGGGACAGGCACCAGUGAGCAUUCCCUGCCUGGGGGUGGGCAGGAGGAGGAGGACAGGGGAUUGGUCCAGCUCCCGCGCGUGGGGCAAGGGCGGUGGGGGGGAGGGGGCGGUGACGAGGGGUGGGGGGGGCAGUCGGGCGACAGGACGUGGCCAUCCCCGGUCCACAGUUCGCAAGAGGAUCCGGAGGGCAAGCGCCAGCGGCCACCGGCAGGGAGACUGACAGCCGCCUCUCGGGGCGCCCGUGCGCCGGCCCAGAGCCCGGCUGUCGGGGCGCAGCCGCGCCCCCGGGACCCUCCUUCCUGGGCACAGGGACUUCCUGCCGCUGUGGCUACGGUUGCGGGCCGGGGCCGGGGCCGGGGCCGGUGCAGCGAGCGGGAAGGCGGCGUUGCCCCAGCCUGGUUUUCGGGGCCGCUCUGGCCGCUUCUCUUCCUUUCCGUGGUCCUCAUCUCCCUCCCGCCGACCUUCCUGAGCCACGAGCUCCAGGUCUUUGCGCGGAAUGACUACGGAAAACAUGGAGUUUUCCCUGGGGUUGGUGGCGUUGGGUUUCUCUGGUCUGCAGGUGGCAGUGUUGCGCCGUCCAGCCGACCAGCCGCCCUCUUGCCCCGCCCUUCGUGCUUGAAAAAACUGCUCUGAGACUUCUCCGCUAAAGAGGCGGCUUCUUUCUGCGUCUGCGCCGGCUGGGCCCCUCUCGGGCGGGCUGCUGCCUUCAGCUCGCCCCCUUCGGAAAAUUCCCUGCCUGGCGACAAGGCCCUUUUGCUUUUCCAGUUGGCCUUUCUCCUGCGGAGCUGCUUAGGUUCCUUAGCAUCUUGUAUUUGUGCUUCUCCGAAUCGUCUUGUCAUGGUCUCUCCCUAGGUUGUCCUGGGUUUAUGGACCUGGGUUUUAUAUCUGGUAAAAUGUGUUCUCUCAUUGUAGAAGUCACUCCCCCUGAGUAUAGAAAACCUGGAAGACAGAAAGUGUAAUGAAGACAGCUAAUCACUCACAAUCCCAUUCCCCAGCCAUGACCCUUAAGAAUAUUUUGUGAUAAGUUUCCUUAGCGGUUUUUCAUUCCUAAAGGUGAACUUCAAACAUGAGGAUCAUAUUGCAUCGUGAAUAUGUUAAGUGAAAUAAGCCAGACAGACAAAGAGGAAGUCUGUAUGACUCCACUCACAGGUGGAAGUUACCAUAUAGACAAAGAGAACUGAUUGGUGGUUACCAGGGGAAAGGGGGGGAGAGGCCACAAAGGGUGAAGGGGUGCACCUACAACACAACUAACAAUAAUGUACAACUGAAAUUUCACAGGGUUGUAAACUAUCAUAAUCUUAAUAAAAGGAAAAG
rnacentral:lncRNA from 1 species